GACCAACAUGAACACUUUUCAUUAAUAAUUAAAUUACAAGUUAUUUAGUUUUAUUGAUUCCCAAGGAAUAAUGUUUGUAAGCAAUUGGCGGAUCGCUAGAUACAUUUGAGUGAAAUAAUUUCUGUUCAAAUUAAACUGCAACUGCUCAGCCCCGAAGGUGCGUUUGGGUGCAAAUUGCUUUCCGCAUAUUCCAGUGUUUAGUCAGCUCAGCCCUUUUUUUAUUUAUUGCAUCACACAUGGCUCUUAGAUCUUUGCAAAACAGUUUUUCGGAGAACUGCGAGGAUUCCAGCUGACGGCGACAAUCUUCACCAAGAUCAACAAUGCGGUCACUUCGGGAACUUCCUCAAAACGGUGGUUCAUGCGGCCAUAAAAAUAAUCCUGAAGCAAUUUUAGGCCUCAGUUUCGGACUAUUUUGUGAACCAAUAGGCCGGUAACGGCGUCUCGAUUCAUUUUGGCUGUGAGUUGAUGAAAAUAUCGGUUUGGUUUUGUCAACAACUCCACAGAGACGAAGACGGGAGAAGCCGAAACGAGGCGGGAUCGAGCUGUGCGCGCACGCCUCGCAAAACAGGAAGUGGCAACGGCAGAGAAGAAAAAAAAUAUCGAAUCUCCGAAAUGUCAUGCGUCUGUUUUAGAAAGGCAUCUUGAAAUACACUCAUCUCCCGGCCUCCGUGUUUCGUAAUCAAAGAGCGUUUUGCUCCCAAAGCAGAAUCGGAGCCGCGAGUCGUCUUUGCCAGAAAUGUUUUUUGUUGGGAGUCGCUGCCAACGCUUUUUUUUUUUUUUUUUUUUGACAGCAGAAGACGGCGGUAAGAAGACGGGGAGGCGGCUCGCGCUGCUUGCCUUGCUGGCAGUCCCGUUGAGUCCCGUUGCCUCCAAAUUCAGGCGCAAGGGGGCACUCGAGCGGAAAAGGUAGGAAUGAGACCGGUGGAAUAUAAGUGCCGAGGAAGUGACUUUUACCAGCCCUGUUAGCGCUGUGCUAACGUGUUGCUGCUGUGUUACUGGCGUGUCUCAGUGAUAUUUAUCGUUCAGGGUGUACGCCGACUCCUGCCUGAUGACAUCUGGGAUAAGCUGCAGCACUCCUCGACCCUGGUGCGGAUAAGCAGCUAAGAAAAUGGAUGGACGGAUGUCGUAUUCAUAUAUUUAGGUGCAGUACUUGCGUGUUUUGUUUCAUACUGGCAUCUUUUUCGGGUUGAAUAUUUGUGUGUUUUCAUUGAAUAUUUGAGCAUAUUUCAUCGAAUUAUUUUUCAUCUCGCGUGGAAACGGACAGAAUGUGUAGAAAGCGGGAAAAGGAGCACACGGGUAACCUGGCGAGAGAGCGGCCACACGGACAACACAUGUUCACCUGG